rnacentral:rRNA from 1 species
AUGAAGAGGAUCGGAUCAAGAAACCCGCGAGAUGGAGAAGAUGCGGGGGUGCACUACGCGUCCACGUGCCACGUGCGCCUUUAUUGCCAUUGUCACCUUGUGGUUGUGGUGGCCAGCUGUGCCAGGCAUGACUCGCGCGGCGCUGUGGAAGAACACACCGCUGGAUGGAGAUGGAGAUUCAGAACUCGCAGGUGCCAAGUCCAAACUGGUCCUGGUCGGUUCAGCUUCAACCGAGUUCCCACCCACACUUGUUUUAAGAAGAGGAAAAAGAGAGAGAGAGUUCCCACCCACACCGACAUAAACAAGGGUGAAACAGCAAGAUAUAUCAAGAGGUGA